CACAACAUAAAUCACAAUGCACACUAAACCAAUCAAAAGAGGAACGACACAAUCAAACUCGCAUCAACACAGCGGCAAUGCUCAACUACAACACACACACACACACACACACACACACGCACGCACACGCGCACGCACGCACGCACGCACACACGAGGCACUAGACAUGUGUUUCACAAAAGUGCGUCAGCAGGGCAGGAAAACAGGCCUGCACACAUGCUCCAACACACAGGCGACAAAAACAGCGACUUUUGGACAACACGGACACAACAUUCCCAGAAACAGAUAUGGAUUGAAAUGUCCGGAUUGUGGAUGUGCGACAUAGGAUGAAUCCAGAUGUCCCUUUCAAUGUUAUUGUUGGGAAGAACAUCGUCCUUGCCACGGUUCCAUGUUGGCAUUUCUCGCAGAGGUCUGUCACAUGACACGCAUCGCAAUGCACUCGAGGGCACGGAUCCGAUUCCUCGCUUCUGAUUGGUUGUGUGGCGGGGGCUCGCCCCAAAACGAGACGAUCUUACUGGAGAAAUACACAGCCACCAGACUCAAUAAAGAUGCACAGGCCAUGUAUGCGGUCACACUGUGGAA